AGCUUUAUAAAGACUGAUGUAACCGUUUUACUAAUCUCUUUUCUCAAAAGUUGAAUUUUGUUUCUGUGUAAAUCUUAUGUAGCUCUUAAUUUUAAAUAACUUAAAUUGCUUGAUACUGACAAUCAUUUACAUGUAAUAUAACAAUAUAUAGAAGCAGAAAUGAAGUUUGGUUACAGAAGAGUAAAAAAAAAACAAACUGUCAAAUCCUAAUGGAUGUAGAGUUGCUUUGUAAAAAUGUCGGUCUUGACUGUAGCCUUCGUGUUUCCAAAUAGUAAAAAUUAAUAUGUAAUUUUAAGCAGCCUCUUUGUGACUGAAUUCAAAGAAAGCACCAUUAUGUUUUAAGACUUUAAUUUCUUGCCAAAAAAUAUGCUAUUUCUACCAG
rnacentral:lncRNA from 1 species